AUGCUGCUUGCAUCUCUGUAUCCUUCAUGGCUAAGGAGAGUAUCCGGAACAUAGUAGGAUCUCAGUAUCUCUUCAUGGAAUUUACACGUCCAUUUGGCCUCUGAAAACCACAUCCUCUCCUCUACAGCUUGUCUACUUUCUUUUCCUGAGGCCAACUGUUAGGAAAUGAUGUUCUAAGGUAAGAAUUUCCUUCACACAGCACCCUAGUUGCCCUCCUAUCAGGGCCAAUGCAGAUUCCACCUAAUAAAUGUGGGUUCUGGCACAUUUGUUUAUCAACAUAUUUCUCUGUGUGUAUGUGUUAUUGUAUUUUAUUCAUUUCUGGUGUAUUUAUUAUGGAUUUCUUUUUAUUUCCAUAAAUAACACUACAACUGAAGCAACAUAUUAUCUGUUAAGCAUCUCCAACAGUCAGAAGGCAUUAUUAUAUGGCUCAGUGUUAUCUUUACAAUCUUUGUGUACCUCCUCUUCCUUCCACCUCUUCUAUUUUUCAUCACUAUCCUUAAUUAUGCCAAUGAGUCACAUGAUGGGACUGCCCCAAUUGUAAAUUUUCUGUAAUUAUUGCCUCCUGCACAUGCCAGAUGCAUCUGAAUUCACAAAAGCUCAAUAUGCAUUUGACAAGUUAUUAAAUACUAAACCAAAAUGUGCUUCAGCACCUACGCUUGUGAACUGCUGCAGUAAAUAAAAGUGUCUGAUGAUGAAAGGUAUUUAUCCUAUUUGAUAAUUUCAAUUAAACCGUUUCAGAUGUGAAAUUUAAAACACUCAUUUCCUCAAUCCUUGCUGCCUUUCCUUGGUAGUUUGAACAUGACUCUUAGAUUCCUUUGGCUCAUGACAUGAUGCUAUAUUGAAUAUUUUCCUAACUGCAAAUUUGAUUUUCAGUCACAUUCAGGCUUAUCUCAUUGUGUGUUAUUAUUGUACUUGUCAGCAGAGAAUCUUUGCAAUUGCUCCUUCAAAACUUGCAUAAAUUUGGUGAUCUGUAGGAAGUUAUAUUUAAAGUAUUUUAAUAACUAGUGUGGCACCAACCAAUUAUAAUGGACACCUGCAGGAGCUCUGGGGCUGGUUUUUGGAAGGCCCCCUACUAGGCCAGGCUUUAACCCUUUGGCUGCAGAAGAGCUCUUGGAAGUAUCCAAAGUGAGGUACCAAGGCAGCUAAGGUUUGGUGGUCAGUGACCCUCCGGGUCAGGACAGCAGCUCUUUACCAACUGCUAUGGAGUAGUUCAAUAGCAGUGCACAUCUGCUGAAUGUCAUUCUUGGUGAUGUGUUUAUUUAAGAGCCAGCAGAAAAGAAAAUAAUUGUUCAGGC
rnacentral:lncRNA from 1 species